UAGGUUCGGACCUAUGAGGUCACACACAUUAGAGUUCAUGAUCCGAUCGGAUGGUUGAUCAAUGAUUAAGAAUCGUUCUAGGGUUAAAUGAUCAAUAUGAUUGACAUUUAACCCAGUGCAAGUGUUGCAAGAGGAUCGAUUAGCAAUUUGAUUGCUAAUUGGCUUAAUUUGAUUAAGCCAAUGGGCUGAGAUUAAGUCUAAUUAAAUAUGAUUUAAUUAGAUUUAGUUUGGGCUUGAUUGGAUCAAGUCUAAUUGGUUUAUUGGAUAAGCCAAGUGCAAGGAAAAACUAGUCCUAGUUCAACUAGGACUUGGGUCAAUCUAAUUUUUAAUUUGAUUAAAAAAUUAAAUCAGAUUUAAAUAUAAUUUAAUUUAAUUAAAUUAGGUUUUUAAUUGGGUUAAGACCUAUUUUAAUUGGGUUGAUCUAAUUUUGAUUUGAUUUGGUUUGAGAUACCAAAUUAAAACAAAUCAUAAGAUAGAAUCCUAGUAAGACUAGGAUUCCACCUUGCACCACAUAAGCCUUCCCCACGCCCUCUCUCUCAUUCAACGCCAAUCUCCUCUUAUUUUGUAUGACAAAAGCCCUCUCCCAGGUCUCUCCCACGUUCACAAAAGGUCUCCUCUCUUCUUUCUUACAUGGAAGGUGAUUUGGAUCAAAUCAAAAAGGAAUAAGUUUGGAUUUCGAAUUCUAUGAGAUAGAGUUUUAGAAAUCCAAAACUCUUUCAAUUUUGUACCAAAUUUAUC
rnacentral:lncRNA from 1 species